rnacentral:tRNA from 1 species
UCCCAGGUGGCUCAGAGAUAAAGAAUCUGCCUGCAAUGCAGGAGAUGCAAGUUCAAACCUUGGCUCGGGAA